GAGGACACUGAGGAGGUGACUGUCCGCAAGCCGGGAAGAGGAACUUCACCAGCCAGAACCUCAGUCUUGGACUUCCCAGCUCCCAGAGCUGCGAGAAAAGAAAUUUGUGUUGUUUAAGCCACCCAGUUUAUGGCAUUUUGUUAUAGCAACCCAAGCAGACUACAACACGGAGGUGAGCACUGUUCUGAAUUUGGUGUUUAUCAACCCAAAGCAGGAUUUAUACUUUUGCUACAUUUAUGUGGAUCCGUGAACAAGAACUAGUUACUUGUGAUCAACCAGGUCUGAAAAUAAUGCUUUGUCACAAUAUCUACAUCAUUCACCUCGCUUCAUCUCAUGACAUAUGCAUCGUAUGAUCUCACGUCAUCACAAGAAGAAGGAAUAAAAAGUCCUGUGGGCUUUUAAUGGAAAACGUGAGAAGCCCCAACAAUCUUACCACUGGCGUGGAUUCUUUUUGUCUUACCGCCUGGGAUCUGAAGAGAAGAAAGUCAGCAAGACAUUCAAGAUGAAUAAAAAAGGAAAAAUGAUGAGACGAGAACGGGCCUGGUGCAAACUUUCUCAAGUUAUUAAUAUGAAAUAGGAUCUAACAAUCGCCACAUAUUAAGAUGAAGAAUCUGUCAGAGAGAACAUUUUUUUUCCAUUUCCCAGGUUUUUGUUGGUACACUUGGAGAGUUUUUCCAGAUAAUUGCUGAAUUGUUAAAAUAUUAUUCUUUCAAAAUGUAUUAUCUUUUCUUUCAAGAAUUACAUUUGUAUCUUGUUUUAUAAACUUAUUUGCCAAG
rnacentral:lncRNA from 1 species